AGCAGCCGCGGUAAUUCCAGCUCCAAUAGCGUAUAUUAAAGUUGUUGCAGUUAAAAAGCUCGUAGUUGAAUUUCGGGGUCAGCAGGUUGGUCGUGCCUCUGGUAUGCACUGGCCUUGCUGAUUCCUCCCUCUUGAUGAGCCGUAAUGCCAUUAAUUUGGUGUUGCGGGGAAUCAGGACUGUUACUUUGAAAAAAUUAGAGUGUUUAAAGCAGGCAAGCGCUUGAAUACAUUAGCAUGGAAUAAUGAAAUAGGACGUUCGAUCCUAUUUUGUGGUUUCUAGGAUUGACGUAAUGAUUAAUAGGGAUAGUUGGGGGCAUUAGUAUUCAAUUGUCAGAGGUGAAAUUCUUGGAUUUAUUGAAGACUAACUACUGCGAAAGCAUUUGCCAAGGAUGUUUUCAUUAAUCAAGAACGAAGUUAGGGGAUCGAAGACGAUCAGAUACCGUCGUAGUCUUAACCAUAAACUAUGCCGACUAGGGAUCGGAUGAUGUUAAUUUUUUAAUGACU
rnacentral:rRNA from 1 species